AUUGAACGCUGGCGGCAGGCCUAACACAUGCAAGUCGGGCGAGCGGCGGACGGGUGAGUAAUGCUUGGGAAUCUAGCUUAUGGAGGGGGAUAACUACGGGAAACUGUAGCUAAUACCGCGUACCAUAGGAUGAGCCCACGUGGGAUUAGGUAGUUGGUGAGGUAAAGGCUCACCAAGCCGACGAUCUCUAGCUGGUCUGAGAGGAUGACCAGCCACACUGGGACUGAGCCACGGCCCAGACUCCUACGGGAGGCAGCAGUGGGGAAUAUUGCGCAAUGGGGGCAUCCCUGACGCAGCCAUGCCGCGUGAAUGAAGAAGGCCUUAGGGUUGUAAAGUUCUUUCAGCGGGGAGGCGUUACCCGCAGAGGAAGCACCGGCUAACUCCGUGCCAGCAGCCGCGGUAAUUC
rnacentral:rRNA from 1 species